AAAAACGGUUUGUUUACAUUACGACUUUUCAAAAUGUAAUAUAAAAUAAUGUGACAAAUUACUUUAUAUUUCCUAUACAUCAUUAUUGUUGUCAGAAUAAAAUGGGCCAGGCCCACAAAGUGAGUGUCCGAGUAGUGAGGAACAAAACCGACGGUUCAUGAAAAAUUCACGGAAAUUUUUGUUCGCCCAGGAUACUUCGGAUGCUAUUAACACUUCCGACAUCUUGAUGAAUUAAUACUUCAGACAUC